AUGAGAUGGGGGGAGCUGAGUGUAGAGACAGCAGCGAUAAGGAAGCCUCCCUCACCUGUGCCCUCUCAGGGACAGUGACCUAACCUGAAAAUAAUUACAACUACUGAACUGUCACUGCACCCUCCACCUCAUCUCCAGUCCUUAUUGCCAAAAACACGCACCCCGCAGUCCACUUUCUUUCUCUCUCUCUCCAUUCCCGCCUCCCCUCAGUGGGGCCCCCAAAACUGUCGUAAUUGCCUUUUAAAAUAGUUUAGCAUCUCCCUCAGAGAGCAGAAAAGUUUCCCCAGUAUGGCACUGGAGGAAGAGUGAGUUGUUUUGUGGUGCUGCCUUGGAAACAGAGACGAGAGGAAUUGAAAUGAUCUUGACUUCUGACCAGCCUCGUCUC
ensembl:lncRNA